UACGGAGGGGGCUAGCGUUGUUCGGAAUUACUGGGCGUAAAGCGCACGUAGGCGGCUUUGUAAGUUAGAGGUGAAAGCCCGGGGCUCAACUCCGGAAUUGCCUUUAAGACUGCAUCGCUAGAAUUGUGGAGAGGUAAGUGGAAUUCCGAGUGUAGAGGUGAAAUUCGUAGAUAUUCGGAAGAACACCAGUGGCGAGGGCGGCUCACUGGCCCGAUACUGACGCCGAGGCACGAAAGCGUGGGGAGCAAACAGG
rnacentral:rRNA from 1 species